GGCUGGCUGUAGCCCCCAGCAUGGGGGUGGGGGGGAUUUAUGGACAUAACUUGAGUGUAAUAAAAAAGUACAUACAAUUGGAACUUUAACAACAAGUGAACCAUGUACCAUCUUGGGGACCAUCCCUGAGAUGUGCUGCUGCCAUCCUUACUUCAAACACCUGAGUUAGGCACAAGUUAGCAUGGGAAAGUGGUUUUAGUUUGCUUUUAGUUCAAAGUCCAGCUACAACACCAUGAAAUGUUAUGAUGCAAAUGAUGAUUUGAUUCUGUGUCUGCAGUAAUUUCAGGUACAGGCCAAAUUAGAACAACAUUCAGAAGACUUUGUACAUAAUGAGGAUAUGAUCAAGACCAUCUACACUGAAAUGAAAGGAAUCUCGGAAUCUUGGAAACAUGAGAAAACUGGAUUUUUCCAGUGUCUCAUGUACUACAGUUUCCAGUUGUCUCAGUUUUGACAUGUUUCCUGUAAGUAACAAAGCCAUUUUUCAAGUCCCAUCACAACCACCUAUUAUACUUGCAAAUAGUCAGCUAAAGUACAUCUGUUCUUUACAGUGAAAUAUGAGUUUACAUUAUUAUUCUUUGUGGCAGUGAUUGUGGUAUACUAAAAUAUAUUUAUAUAUAUAUAUUUAUCCUAAAUACAGUAUAUUCUAGUAAAACAAUGGAUGCACAUAGGCAUAUAUGUAAUAACAUCACUAGAAUUUUCUGCAAAAUAAAAAAUAUUUAGUAAGUAAAUAUAUGAUACUUUUGCAUUACAGCAGACUACUUUUUUUAAAAGUCAUAUAGCUAGCUAUACAACAGACAUUGAUGGAAAAUCUCAGAGAAUGUUUUUUGCUCACUAAGCACAGAUUUGCAUGAUGGCAAACAGUUUCUCCAUUACUGCUGAUAUUAAGAAGCUGUAUUCAUCUAAUUGACAACUUUGUUGCCUCCCUUCCCCCUUCUUUGUUUUCACUGUAGCUUGCUGUAAGGGAGAGUAAAGAUGUUUCAUUUAGCUGUCAUCCAGACCCAGUGUUUUAGUCUGACACCCGAACUUAAUUUAGAAUAGUAAGAUUAUUGUAAUGUAAAAUAUUCCUAGUAUUUGCAGUUAAGGUAUGCAAAAUGCACAGCAAUUUUAAUGGGUUGGUUGUACACAUUUUUCUUCAGUUGUUGCAGAACACACUUUAAAACAUAUGUUUUAAAUUACAUAAAAAUAUAUUUUAUGAUAGUGCAUUGAAAGCAAGGCAAUCUGGAGGACAAAAUUUCCCAGCAGCAACAAAUCUGGCAUGAUGUUGCUAUAUUCCCUUACUCUGAACUCUGUUUUUUUGUUUUAAAUUGUGCUUGCAUAUUAUUUUUGAAGGGAGAGGAUAAGAAAGGAAUAAUAUUUGUUAAAAUAAUGUUGGAC